AAAGCUCAUUUAAGCCAGAAGUGGAAUCACGCCAGUGAAGAACCGUCAUUUCACACACAAUAGCACAAUGCACAUGAGUGUGUUAAAUAAACAACUCAGCCAUGACUGUUCUGCGUUUUUCCUCUGAAGGACAUCCAGUGGCCCCAACUCGUGUGGUUUCUGUUUCGGUCAUUCAUCAGAAGAAUGCGAUGACAAGUACCAAAAACUCCUGCAGCUUCUCCAAGAAGAUUCAAGGAGAGAAGAUAAGAUGCAAUUUCAGUUACAGAGACUUGAACUUGAAGACCCCGAGCUAAAACUUAAAACAGAACAUCAAGCAGAAGAGAUAGAAGAGCUUCAGCAGACCUUGGUUGGCACAAGUUUGGU